AUACUCCAGCUAAGAGUGGGAGCCUGCAGAAAGAAACUCACUGUCCCAAGAUCUGCACCAAGAAGCUCCAAGCCUAAAUGGAUACAAGCUGUAAAGUUUUUCUCCUUGCAGAUUCGUUGAAAUGCAUAAUCUGUCCGAGGACUCCAGUUGUGGUGGUGACGGACCCCAAGAAGCCAGGGCGAAGAGGACCUGUGAGACUCUCUGGAUUCUUGUGGUGGUGACUCUUUUCCUACCUAAUCUGUCUCU